ensembl:lncRNA
GCCUGAGCCAGCAGUCAAAGAGGCACCAAACGAGGUGAUCGCCAGGGCAAAUGCAAAAGGCAUACUGGACAAACUGGGCUCCAACCACCUUACUAGAAAAGAACAACACGAAAACAGCAGCAGGAUGAAAAAAGCAGCCAGUGUUCGCACUACCCAGUCCCAGCUCUCUGUCAGCAUUCAGCCCAAGCAUCAUCAGACCAAGAGGAGUGACAGCGCUGUGCUCUGUGGACAUCAGGAUUUUACUAACAUGAAGCAGUCUUCACAAGAAAAACCCAAAUCACUGCGCUUGCAAGCCACAAAGGGCACCACAUCAAGCUCGUUCUCUUACUCCAGACCAGAAUGCAACAGCGCUUCCUGUUCCUCCUCCAAACUAGAAAAAAGCUUACACACUGCUCCUGUCACCACCACUCUGCGUUAUUCUUCUUCUUCUGCCGCUCCUGCGGUCCCAGCGGCCCGCUCACGUGGACCUCAAAAGGAGGUGCUGAAACCUGUGCUCUUCGUCCUGCCUCCCGUUCACUUCCCCAACUUUUUUCCACCCCAGCACAGCCGAUCCAGAUUCAGCCCCAGCCUCAGCUGCAAGUGGAAGAGACAGACUCCGAUCGUUUCCUCCUGCUCCGGUGGCAGUCUCUCCAAAGAUGCUCAGGAAAUUCC